rnacentral:rRNA from 1 species
GAUGAACGCUAGCGGCAGGCUUAAUACAUGCAAGUUGAGGGGCAGCAUGAUAUACGCGAGUAUAUUGAUGGCGACCGGCGGACGGGUGAGUAAUAGGUAGGAGACCUACCUCAUACAGGGGGAUAGCAUAGAGAAAUCUGUGGUAAUACCCCAUGAGGUUAUAUGAAUAGAGGCAUAUAAUCAAAGCAUAAGCGAUUAUGCGGUAUGAGAGGGGCCUACUGACCAUUAGCUAGUUGGUGAGGUAAGGGCUCACCAAGGCGAAGAUGGUUAGGGGUUUUGAGAGAGAGACCCCCCACAUUGGAACUGAGAGACGGUCCAGACUCCUACGGGAGGCAGCAGUAGGGAAUAUUGGGCAAUGGGCGAAAGCCUGACCCAGCCAUGCCGCGUGAAGGAAGACGGCCUUAGGGUUGUAAACUUCUUUACUACGCGAAUAGAGGUUAGUACGAGAUACUAAUAGGAAGAUAGUGUAGUAAAAAGCACCGGCUAAACUCCGUG